UCAGUCCGUGCGCCAAGCCCUUGAGUAGCCUGUUUUUUAUUUGCAACCGCGGGAAAAAUCGAGGUGCAAAAAGAUGACGACGACACAAUUGUUUUGUUGGGAAUUUGCAACCUUAUUUGGAUCUGAACUGGCGUGUGCUGGAGGAAUCCUUGUUCAUAACUUGGUUUGCUGCUGAGGUAUGUCCCUUUGUCACCUAUGUCACUUUAGCUGAGGUUCGUUGCGCCCAACUGUAGACCAUGAAGACCUGUGUUUGCACUACAUAUUUUUUCGUCGUAAUCGUACCAUCAACUUGCUUGUCGUGCUGGAGUGGAUAGCAUAUAGCGGACACUCUCGGCUUAUGCUCUAAGCCAAAGGUAGAUAUAUUUGGGUUUGGAUUCCCAAAGCACAUCCCAAUCAGGCUAUGCAAAAUGGAGCGGCCCACAAUUUCGUGGAGAUGGUCUUGCGCGCUCGUCAUCAACAGCACUAGGUCCAGUGGGCCAAUCAGGCUGAAUGGCAUCAUCCAGCUGUGACUGGGGUGUAGGAGUCGCCACCUGCUGUUGCGCCGACUCGAGCUAGUACUCGCAUGAGCUCGCUGGAAUUGCUAUGUGCAUCCA